rnacentral:tRNA from 1 species
CAUUAGAUGACUGAAAUUAUAAGUAAUGGUCUCUUAAACCAAUAUAUAGUAUUUUUAACAAUACUUCUAAUGA